rnacentral:rRNA from 1 species
GUCUACAGCCAUGGCACCCCGGAGUCCCCCAUCUCGGAAGCUAAGUAGGGUCGGCCUGGUUAGGACUUGGAUGGGGAAAAGGUGUCCCCAGGCUGGAGACA